GUGAUAGGAACAUGCCAACUUUGGGCUUUAAUAAGUCCUACGACUCCAGCUGUAUUAUCAUUAUUAGUAAAUGUGUAAUAUCCCACAUUUAAGUGUAGGUAUUUAAUUAAUUAAACUUUAAAAAAAAAAAUUGGUAGCUAAAGAAAUAAAGUGCAGCAUAUGACAAAUAAGGAAAAGAGAAGUAUAAAAGUCCAUGGGCUUUAGCCCAUUGAGGAAUCUGGCGUUACUUUAAGAAAAGGACAAAGGAUUAGAAGAUAAAAAAAAAUUAAAAUUAAAAGAAAAACUUAGUAGCCCUUCAACAAGUACAGCGAACAAAAGUUUUGUUCUGGUGGUUCCGUACUCCGCAAAACCAUUUCAACCAUUGUUCUUAAACUUCAACAAUCAAGAUUAAGAUUGAUCGAAGGACGUUGUACGGAUUGCUCGAGGUGACGAGUUUGGUACUUCGACACAAGUACUAGACCGCAGGUGACGUUGGUGAGGAUUACGGUAACUAGAGAGCACAAGUUGAAAGCUCCUGGUGAGCCCCGCACUUGUCCGCGUGGGCGAAGAGUCUAUUAUUUAUUAUAGUCUUUCUUUUGAACUCUUAGAGUUGCUCCACAGUCAUUUGAUUUAUUCCAUAAGUAUUCUUUAUUUAUUAUAGACUGGUGACUAGUAUUAGACAUUUUUUUCCGUAUUUCAGAGAUGUUUUAGUAUUAUUACGUUGAAAACGGGUUGAUUGAGGAUGAUUACAUUUAGUUUGGUUGAGAUUGGACAUUUUUGUUAUUGAUUUUGAGACAGGAAAGUUUUGGAUAGUCAUAAAAACAGGGGAAACUCUGGCCGAUUUUCUGAAAAAUUUCCGUUAAGGCUUGCUUUGGGAAUCCUACCCCAUAGCGCCGGUCAUGGUCCUAAAUUGGGUCGUGACAAGAUGUCUCAAUGACUUCAUCAUUACCUGGAUCUUGUAGUGAUUCGUCAUUAUUGGAAUGAUUAUCUUCUUCAUUUUUAUUAUCUUCUGCAAGAAUUUCAUUUCUUGUUUGAGAUAAUAUUUGGUUUGUGAUAUAAUCCAUUUCAACCUUAUUAAGCCUUGUUUUGACUUCUUUUAUCUCGUUCUUGACAGAGAUUAAUUCAUAUUGUAAAUCUUGUAUUGUAGGUUUCUUUUCUUUUGAAGAGAAUCUACUCAUAACAUUUUUCAUGUUAAAGGGUUCAAUCUGAGGUUUAUCCUUGGAUUGAUUUAUAAGAAU